rnacentral:rRNA from 1 species
UUGACUGUGCUAAGGUAGCAUAAUAAAUUGGCUUUUAAUUGAAGUCGGGAAUGAAAGGGUGUUUGGAGUUAUUCUGUCUUAUUUUUAUUUUUUAAAAAUUACUAAUGAGGUGAAAAUUCCUCAAUGUCUUAUGAUAGACGAGAAGACCCUAAGAAUUAUUACAACUAUUAAAUUUAAUUAAUAAAAGUUUUUGUUGGGGCAACAGCUUUGAAUAACCAAAGUUAAAAUUUUCUAUAAAAAGAUUAUAUUAAAAACGGAUUUAAUUACCUUAGGGAUAACAGCAUAAUUAAAUUUUAGAUUGUGACCUCGAUGUUGGAUUAAGGCCU